AUGGGUCUGGCCGCUGCAGGGCCCAACCCGCUGCUGACGGAGUGCUCAGACGAUGUCUGCAAUACCAUACUGAACGCCAGGGCGCCUUCUACCCGGGCGCAGUAUGAGAAUAGGUGGCAGCUAUUUACGGCAUGGUGUUCAGACGGGGCUGAGGACCCUGUGCAUUGUUCAGUUCCAACGAUUUUGGAGUUCCUCCAGUCGCUCCUGGAUGGCGGCCGGGCCCCAGCUACUCUGAGGGUAUACGUGGCAGCCAUCUCCUCAAGACAUGCUCGGGUGGAUAAUGACACAGUGGGGGGCCACAGAUUGGUGUCCCUUUUUCUGAAGGGGGUGUUGCAGUUACGACCCCCACGAGCACAGCGUGCCCCAGCAUGGGAUCUGCACCUGGUGCUCGAUGCUUUAUGCUUGCCUCCUUUUGAACCCCUGGCUCAGGCGGAGCUGAAGUGGGUCUCCACUAAAACUGCCUUUCUCCUCGCCAUCGCGUCAGCGAAGCGCGUCGGGGAGCUUCAUGCUCUGUCCGUGAGUGACUCAUGUCUGAGGUGGAAGUCGGAUGGCUCAGGGGUUACCCUGUGGCCGAAUCCAGCUUUCCUCCCGAAGGUUCUGUCAUCGUCGAACCUCAACCGACCUGUCCGCCUGGCACAAUUUAUCGCCUCGGAAGGGGAGGACAGGUUCAAACUGCUGUGUCCUGUGCGAGCUCUGAGAGCGUACGUAGCUGCGACCGCAGGCAUUAGACGGUCGGACCAGCUCUUCCUCUGCUAUGGUGGUCCUAGGAGGGGCUGUGCUCUCUCCAAACAGCGAUUGUCUCAUUGGGUUGUGGACGUCAUCACCCAUGCAUAUAAAGGAGGUGGUCACCCCCUGCCAUCCGGGGUCAGGUGCCACUCUACCAGGGCUGUCUCAACGUCAUGGGCUGCCCUGCGGGGCGUGCCCCUGGAAGACAUCUGUGAUGCAGCAUCAUGGACAUCACCAUGUACCUUUUCCAGGUUCUACCGGGUGAACGUUGCCACUCCCCAUCCGUUGGCCGUGGUCCUGUCGCCCGACUCUGCUGUUCCCUCUCAAUGA
rnacentral:lncRNA from 1 species